rnacentral:rRNA from 1 species
AUUGAACGCUGGCGGCAGGCCUAACACAUGCAAGUCGAGCGGAGCGGCGGACGGGUGAGUAAUGCCUAGGAAUCUGCCUGGUAGUGGGGGAUGACGUCCAGAAACGGGAGCUAAUACCAAAAACUAUAAGAUGAGCCUAGGUCGGAAUAGCUAGUGGGUGGGGUAAAGGCCUACCAAGUCGACGAUCCGGAACUGGUCUGAGAGGAUGAUCAGUCACACGGGAACUGAGACACGGUCCAGACUCCUACGGGAGGCAGCAUUGGGGAAUAUUGGACAAGGGGCGAAAGCCUGAUCCAGUCAUGCCGCGUGUGUGAAGAAGGUCUUCGGGUUGUAAAGUACUUUCAGCUGGGAGGCGUUACCAACAGAAGAAGCACCGGCUAACUUCGUGCCAGCCGCCGCGGUAAUUC